AGGAUUUCUUGUGGUAUGACCUGCGGCGCGUGGCUUCUGGAUCUGGUCGUUUGAAAAUUUAUAUCGACCCAAAGAGCGGAGAGUUGAGCAGAGAGGUGAAAUCGGCUUUGGGCUCCGGCGUUUCAACUUUCAAGCGGCAUGUAGGAGGGGCGGCGGGAGCUGUAAACGGCAGCAGGCCAGGAGCAGAGCAUAUUUCGCCGGUGAGCUCAGGCAAGUCGAUGGACUUCACGCUGGAUGCACUGAGCAGUGUUGCUAUCUACGAGGGGGCAGUGGAGGCUGCGGCGACCGGUGCGGUCGCGAGGGGAAGAAGUGGAGUGGAGCUGGAGCAAUCGCUGCUGGGUAUCCUGCAAACUGUGGCUGGAUGGGAUGAUCACGACGCUGACGGAGAGGCGGAUUUUGCACAGUCAACUCAGAAAAUGAAUCCGCAGUCUCCUGGGCGGACAAAAAGUCAAUGAAGCAGCUUGUCAUGCUGGACUGGCUUCUAACUCAUAAGGGAUAGGGGCUUCAGCUGGACCUGAUGGCGCAGGUGUCAUUGGUUCUGCGGCAGGCAGGAACGCUACAAGAGCUCCCCAAUCAGCAUCCGUUGUACCACGAGGAUUGAGGGCAGUGGUGAUCAUUCAAGUGGUGAUCAUUCAGAGUUUCGGAUUCAGUCAUCAAGAAAAGGCAGAAAAUAGGGCAGUUCUUCUAUCUCAUCUCAUGUAUUUACUUUAUUAUGAUUUUUGAUUUUUGAUCUAUCAUAUUAUUGCAUUUAUACAUAUACUUGUCGUAUCGCUGUUUCGCUGUUUUUUGAAAUCGCCAUAUCCCGUAUCGCCGUCUCCGUGUUGCCGUAUCGGUGCUUCGUAGAUUAUAGUCUACUCGAGUCUUGAGUGGUAUGUGUUUCCUUAUGAAACUUGAAAACUGUUGCAGGUAUAAGCACUGUCCGUGCAAAGCCAAGAGGCAGGGAUUCUUAUGGGGUGCUAAUUCAGUUAAACUCGGGGAAGAAAGUGAAGGCGGAUCUUGACGAACAGUUUGUUGGAGACGCCGGGCUGCAGCAUGAAGAUCCCAUUCCAAGAUAUGUGUUCACAUUCCAUUAGCGGAUGAUCAACGCCGUGCAUUCAAACUUGAGAUGUGUGUACAACAUACUUGUGGUUAAUUACUUGCUAUGUGUUUUUAGUCUGGUGGGUUGCACUGACUAGUGUUCGAUGGAUCAAACUAUGAAUUUCGAGGUCC